UACGUACGAGGCGAGCGUUAUCCGGAAUUACUGGGCGUAAAGCGCGCGCAGGUGGUUCGCUAAGUAGGGCGUGAAAUCUCCCGGCCUAACUGGGAGGGGUCGCCCUAGACUGACGGACUUGAGGCUGGCAGAGGUAGGUGGAAUUCCUGGUGUAGUGGUGAAAUGCGUAGAGAUCAGGAGGAACACCGGUGGCGAAGGCGGCCUACUGGGCCAGCACUGACGCUGAGGCGCGAAAGCUCGGGGAGCGAACGGG
rnacentral:rRNA from 1 species